rnacentral:rRNA from 1 species
CGUGUAGGCGGACUCGCAAGUCGGUUGUGAAAUCCCUGGGCUUAACCUAGGAACUGCAUUCGAAACUGCUUGUCUUGAGUAAUGGAGAGGGUGGCGGAAUUCCCGGUGUAGAGGUGAAAUUCGUAGAUAUCGGGAGGAACAUCAGUGGCGAAGGCGGCCACCUGGACAUUUACUGACGCUGAGACGCGAAAGCGUGGGGAGCAAACAGGAUUAGAUACCCUGGUAGUCC